GCCGGGAUGGCGGAACAGGGAGACGCGACGGACUCAAAAUCCGUUGGGCUCUGCGCCCGUGGGGGUUCGACUCCCCCUCCCGGCACCA
rnacentral:tRNA from 1 species